GGCCUUCUGAUCCCUUUGAAAAAAUCAGGCAUCCACAUUGGAAGAACAACAGCUUCUCUUAAUAAUUUCUUGGCUUCUUCCAAAUCUGCUAUGUCAUCCCAGUGAAUGCUUGGAUUCCUUGACACAAUGUCCCUUUCAAGAGCUUCGACCAAGUCUUUGUCAUAACCCGCUCCAUCAAAUCUUAGAACAUCAUCAGCAACACCUUCCUGGGGUAUUUUCUUUCCCUUGUCAUCCCUCCCUCUGGCCCUCGGCUCCCUGUCACGGCUGCCUGCAGGUUUGUCGCUCCUCACUGCUGGCUGUGCUCUGCCCACGGGCCCACGGGGCUGCAGGCCCGGGGAUUCCUUCCUCAAGGGCUUUGCUCCUCGGUUGGGACGCUUUAUCUGAGGUGGGGCCCUGUGUUCAGCUGGAACUGGAGGUGGCCAAACAGCAGGGUCUCUAAAAGGCUCAUCUUGAUAGGACACAGGGAUAUCUGCAGGUCUGUCCAUUUUAAAACUCUCUAAAGUGUCGACAAUGCUCUUAACUUGCUCAUAUUCUUCGACUAAUUCUUGCCGAACCUGUUGCCAUUUGCCCUUAAUUGCUGGAUCUC
rnacentral:lncRNA from 1 species